GGGGACAGAAGUGACAGGUGGUGCAUGGUUGUCGUCAGCUCGUGUCGUGAGAUGUUGGGUUAAGUCCCGCAACGAGCGCAACCCUUGCCUUUAUUGCCAGCAUUAAGUUGGGCACUCUAGAGGGACUGCCAGGGAUAACCUGGAGGAAGGUGGGGAUGACGUCAAAUCAUCAUGCCCCUUAUGCUUAGGGCUACACACGUGCUACAAUGGGUGGUACAGAGGGCAGCCAAGUCGUGAGGCCGAGCUAAUCCCUUAAAGCCAUUCUCAGUUCGGAUUGUAGGCUGAAACUCGCCUACAUGAAGCUGGAGUUACUAGUAAUCGCAGAUCAGAAUGCUGCGGUGAAUGCGUUCCCGGGUCUUGUACACA
rnacentral:rRNA from 1 species